GAUGAACGCUGGCGGCGUGCCUAAUACAUGCCAGUCGAGCGAACGGACGAGAAGCUUGCUUUUCUGAUGUUAGCGGCGGACGGGUGAGUAACACGUGGAUAACCUACCUAUCAGACUGGGAUAACUUCGGGAAACCGGAGCUAAUACCGGAUAAUAUUUUGAACCGCAUGGUUCAAAAGUGAAAGACGGUCUUGCUGUCACUUAUAGAUGGAUCCGCGCUGCAUUAGCUAGUUGGUAAGGUAACGGCUUACCAAGGCAACGAUGCAUAGCCGACCUGAGAGGGGGAUCGGCCACACUGGAACUGAGACACGGACCAGACGCCUACGGGAGGGAGCAGUAGGGAAUCGUCCGCAAUGGGCGAAAGCCUGACGGAGCAACGCCGCGUGAGUGAUGAAGGUCUUCGGAUCGUAAAGCUGUGUUAUGAGGGAAGAACAUAUGUGUAAGUAACUGUGCGCAGCGUGACGGUACCUAAUCAGAAAGCCACGGCUAACUACGUG
rnacentral:rRNA from 1 species